CAGCCGCCGCGGUAAUACGAAGGGGGCUAGCGUUGUUCGGAAUUACUGGGCGUAAAGCGCACGUAGGCGGCUUGGUAAGUUAGAGGUGAAAGCCCGGAGCUCAACUCCGGAAUUGCCUUUAAGACUGCCGAGCUAGUAGGUGAGAGAGGUAAGUGGAAUUCCGAGUGUAGAGGUGAAAUUCGUAGAUAUUCGGAAGAACACCAGUGGCGAAGGCAGCUUACUGGCUCAUUCUAGACGCUGAGGUGCGAAAGCGUGGGGAGCAAACAGGAUUAGAUACCCGUGUAGUCCCUGUCUCUUAUAC
rnacentral:rRNA from 1 species